UACGUAGGGCGCGAGCGUGUCCGGAAUUAUUGGGCGUAAAGAGCUCGUAGGCGGCCUGUUGCGUCCGCUGUGAAAUCCCGGGGCCUCAACCCCGGGCUUGCAGUGGAUACGGGCUGGCUAGAGGCAGGCAGGGGGAGAACGGAAUUCCCGGUGUAGCGGUGAAAUGCGCAGAUAUCGGGAGGAACAUCGGUGGCGAAGGCAGGUCUCUGGGCCACUACUGACGCUGAGAAGCGAAAGCAUGGGGAGCGAACAGG
rnacentral:rRNA from 1 species